CCAAUAAGGAAUAACCUUUAAAAGCCUCAUGUCAACCCCAUGAAGUAGAUCCUCAUUCUAUGGAUAAGGAUCUUGAGAGGGAAAGUAACUGGCCCACGAGUUUACAGAUGAUGGAUAGACAAUUGUGGAGACAGGAUGCCAGUCCAGCGGAGUCUGGCUACAAAAUGCCCACACGAAGCACUCAUUGAAAUAGAGUAUUUUGUAACCUGUUCCUUUCACAGUCUUUUGAAUUUACAUUUGGAUAUAAACUCUAGAAAGGCAGGAGCAACCAUGCCUUCCACUUGGUACAGGUUUUUUGGUGUGACCCAGUUUAGUGUCCUGGAAAUACAUGGCAACAAUUGCUGAAAGAGAGGAAAUCAACAUUUAUAAAGCACUUACGAAAUAUCUGCCAAGAACUAUGGCCGGCUACUGAGAUGUUUUACAGAUGUUGCCUAGAGGAUAACUUUUUUCUUUCCUCAGACUAUGUUUUCUCCUUAUGGAACGAACACAGUAAUUGAGAGCAGGAUUUUAAAGACAAAUCAAACUUGAUGGCAUAAGACCUAUUUCAAGCUGGAUCGACCAAAACGAAUAACUGAGCAUUUGGAGAGUAAGGUUUUAGGUUGGAUCAAGAGCCUAAAGGGUACCAUAACCUCAUUCUAUAGUGUAAAUGAUGCCAUAAUAGCCUGGCUUCUCCUUUUACAUUUCUUCCGUCUGCUUUCUCGAUGUUGUCUCCACUUCUCAGUCCCCGUGUGGUUGGAAGAUGGCUUCACCCAGGCCC